AUUGAACGCUGGCGGCAGGCUUAACACAUGCAAGUCGAACGAGUGGUGGACGGGUGUGUAAUGCUUGGGAAUCUAGCUUAUGGAUGGGGAUAACUACGUGAAACUGUAGCUAAUACCGCGUACCCUCGUCUGAGCCUCACUGGGAUUAGGUAGUUCGUGAGGUAAAGGCGCACCAAGCCGACGAUCUCUAGCUGGUCUGAGAGGAUGACCAGCCACACUGAGACUGAGACACGGCCAAGACUCCUACGGAAGGCAGCAGUGGGGAAUAGGGCGCAAAUGGGGAAACCCUGACGCAGCCAUGCCGCGUGAAUGAAGAAGGCCUUAGGGUUGUAAAGUACUUUCAGCGGGGAGGCGUUACCCGAAGAAGAAGCACCGGCUAACUCCGUGCCAGCAGCCGCGGUAAUAA
rnacentral:rRNA from 1 species